ACAAUGAAGAGUUUGAUCCUGGCUCAGGAUGAACGCUAGCUACAGGCUUAACACAUGCAAGUCGAGGGGCAGCAUUUCAGUUUGCUUGCAAACUGGAGAUGGCGACCGGCGCACGGGUGAGUAACACGUAUCCAACCUGCCGAUAACUCGGGGAUAGCCUUUCGAAAGAAAGAUUAAUACCCGAUGGCAUAAUCAGACCGCAUGGUCUUAUUAUUAAAGAAUUUCGGUUAUCGAUGGGGAUGCGUUCCAUUAGGCAGUUGGUGAGGUAACGGCUCACCAAACCUUCGAUGGAUAGGGGUUCUGAGAGGAAGGUCCCCCACAUUGGAACUGAGACACGGUCCAAACUCCUACGGGAGGCAGCAGUGAGGAAUAUUGGUCAAUGGACGAGAGUCUGAACCAGCCAAGUAGCGUGAAGGAUGACUGCCCUAUGGGUUGUAAACUUCUUUUAUAUGGGAAUAAAGUUUUCCACGUGUGGAAUUUUGUAUGUACCAUAUGAAUAAGGAUCGGCUAACUCCGUGCCAGCAGCCGCGGUAAUACGGAGGAUCCGAGCGUUAUCCGGAUUUAUUGGGUUUAAAGGGAGCGUAGGUGGACAGUUAAGUCAGUUGUGAAAGUUUGCGGCUCAACCGUAAAAUUGCAGUUGAUACUGGCUGUCUUGAGUACAGUAGAGGUGGGCGGAAUUCGUGGUGUAGCGGUGAAAUGCUUAGAUAUCACGAAGAACUCCGAUUGCGAAGGCAGCUCACUGGACUGCAACUGACACUGAUGCUCGAAAGUGUGGGUAUCAAACAGGAUUAGAUACCCUGGUAGUCCACACAGUAAACGAUGAAUACUCGCUGUUUGCGAUAUACAGUAAGCGGCCAAGCGAAAGCAUUAAGUAUUCCACCUGGGGAGUACGCCGGCAACGGUGAAACUCAAAGGAAUUGACGGGGGCCCGCACAAGCGGAGGAACAUGUGGUUUAAUUCGAUGAUACGCGAGGAACCUUACCCGGGCUUAAAUUGCAUUUGAAUAAUCUGGAAACAGGUUAGCCGCAAGGCAAAUGUGAAGGUGCUGCAUGGUUGUCGUCAGCUCGUGCCGUGAGGUGUCGGCUUAAGUGCCAUAACGAGCGCAACCCUUAUCUUUAGUUACUAACAGGUCAUGCUGAGGACUCUAGAGAGACUGCCGUCGUAAGAUGUGAGGAAGGUGGGGAUGACGUCAAAUCAGCACGGCCCUUACGUCCGGGGCUACACACGUGUUACAAUGGGGGGUACAGAAGGCAGCUACCUGGUGACAGGAUGCUAAUCCCAAAAGCCUCUCUCAGUUCGGAUCGAAGUCUGCAACCCGACUUCGUGAAGCUGGAUUCGCUAGUAAUCGCGCAUCAGCCAUGGCGCGGUGAAUACGUUCCCGGGCCUUGUACACACCGCCCGUCAAGCCAUGAAAGCCGGGGGUACCUGAAGUACGUAACCGCAAGGAGCGUCCUAGGGUAAAACUGGUAAUUGGGGCUAAGUCGUAACAAGGUAGCCGUACCGGAAGGUGCGGCUGGAACACCUCCUUU
rnacentral:rRNA from 1 species